UUCUGUGGGGGCGGAGCGGCCGGCCGCAACUUGCGGUUCGAGCUAGCGCUUCCCCUACAUCCUGCCGCGAACCGUGCUACCAUUAGUUUGGUGGCGCCGGGGAUCGGCUCGUUUACUUUGAGAAAAAUAGAGUGUUCAAAGCAGGCCACACGCCUUGAAUAAGUUAGCAUGGAAUAAUAAUAAAGGACUUCGGUUCUAUUUUGUUGGUGUUCGGGACUGAAGUAAUGAUUGAUAGGGACAGUUGGGGCGGUCAGUAUUCCAAAGCGAGAGGUGAAAUUCUUAGACCUUCGGAAGACUAACAGCUGCGAAAGCGUUCCGCAAGGAUGUUCCCUUUGAUCAAGAACGAAAGUUGGGGGAUCGAAGACGAUCAGAUACCGUCGUAGUCUCAACUAUAAACUAUACCAGCUAGGGAUCGGCCAACGUUAAAUUAUUCGACUUGGUCGGCACCUUAUGAGAAAUCAAAGCAUCUGGGUUCCGGGGGGAGUAUGGUCGCAAGGCUGAAACUUAAAGGAAUUGACGGAAGGGCACCACCAGCCGUGGAGCCUGUGGCUUAAAUUGACUCAACACGGGAAAACUUACCAGGUCCAGACAUAGUAAGGAUUGACAGAUUGAUAGCUCUUUCUUGAUUCUGUGGGUGGUGGUGCAUGGCCGUUCUUAGUUGGUGGAGUGAUUUGUCUGGUUAAUUCCGUUAACGAACGAGACCCCAGCCUGCUAAAUAGCGCGGUUGAGCUUUGCUCGGCGCGAGCUUCUUAGAGGGACUAUGAUGCGCGAUAGCACAUGGAAGUUUGGGGCAAUAACAGGUCUGUGAUGCCCUUAGAUGUUCUGGGCCGCACACGGGCUACACUGGCGCCUGCAACGAGCAUAUCAGCUGGCCCGAGAGGGUCUUGGCUAAUCUUUUGAACCGGCGCCGUGCUUGGGAUUGACCAUUGCAAUUGUUGGUCAUGCAACGAGGAAUGCCUUGUAAACGCGAGUCAUCAACUCGCAUUGAAUACGUCCCUGCCCUUUGUAC
rnacentral:rRNA from 1 species